AGCAAGUUGAAGGAUUUGGAGGUUGCAGAACGGUUGAGGGAGUUGUAUGAAGUUUUAAGGGAGUUGUAUGAAGUUUUAAAGAAGAACAACAAGAAGUUGCAAUCGAAAUUAAAUUCAAACGCUUAUACUGGGAAAAUUAAAUUUUUGUGUUUUGUAGUUUCUCAUAUGAUUAUGUGUACCUUAUAAUUAAGUGUAAUUAUUGAAGUGGAGCCAUGUUAGUGUUAUGUAAGGUUAUUUUUUUAAUGUAAUGAUUGUUCUUUAAUGGAACGUUGGUGUUUG
rnacentral:lncRNA from 1 species